CUAGGUGAAGUCUGGUAGAUACUGAGCCAUGCUUAAAUGGAAGACCCAGUCUAUGAAUUCUACAUUAUUUUCAACCUAAUUCUAUAAAAACAGCGGCCCUAAUACCAUACAAUGUCCUGUUCAACUCCUUAGGAGGCGUUGGAUCAUAAUAGAUGCCAAAGGAAAAAAACUGUGAACGUUGGGUCAGCACACUUUUUAAUCAUUAUUCCAGUAUUCUUCAGCAUUCUAUUUAAUAUUUCCUGUUAUACAUUUUCCCCUACUGGAAAUGUUCUGUCUC
rnacentral:lncRNA from 1 species